rnacentral:rRNA from 1 species
UACGUAGGGUGCAAGCGUUGUCCGGACUUAUUGGGCGUAAAGAGCUUGUAGGCGGUUUGUCGCGUCUGCUGUGAAAUUUCGGGGCUCAACCCCGAACUUGCAGUGGGUACGGGCAGACUAGAGUGUGGUAGGGGAGACUGGAAUUCCUGGUGUAGCGGUGAAAUGCGCAGAUAUCAGGAGGAACACCGAUGGCGAAGGCAGGUCUCUGGGCCAUAACUGACGCUGAGAAGCGAAAGCAUGGGGAGCGAACAGG